UACUAGUAUUAGUUUUUUUCUAAAACAAAACUUAUCCCUCACUCAAAGUCAAAUUUCAAUGUAGUUUUAAAUUUCAGCAUUUAAAUUUAGAUUUAGGGUUUCUGUUUCCCUCCCACCCACACCCGCCGCCCCACGGCCCCACCGGCGCCGCCCCUUCUGCGCCGAGCCUCGCCGUCCCCCAGGCCUAAGACUCGCCGCGACGCCGUCGCCCUGGCCCCUCCUCGGCGUUGCCCAGACCUAAGGCUCGUAGUCGUCGUCGCCCAGGUCCCAGCCGACCCGCGACGCCGUCGCCCAGGCCCCGCCGAGCCUCGCUCGUAGUCAUCGUCCCCCAGGCCCAGCCUCGCCGUUGCCCAGGCUCCGAGACGCCCCCGUCCGCCCGAAUGCUCAGCCAUAAUUGUCGUUGCUGCCUUCACGAUGCGCUUCCAUCGCCGCCGUCAUUCUUAUAAGGGUUCUGAUUGAGGAAUUCAAUUUCGUUGCUCUUCGGUAUUACAAUUGUAACAGUACGAAGUUGUUAAGGCAAAUUCUAUUGGGAGGAGAAAAACUUGAUCGACUUGUAUGUUAUACUGCUAAGAUAUUCAAGUAACUUUUUGGAGCUUUGUGCAAUGGGAAGAAGACUAUCGAAAAUUGCAGCCAAAGAUCCCCCUUUCUUGCUUAGCUAAUGGCAUCCAGUAAGCAUGAUAAGGGAUAAUACUCUGCUUUCUUAUUCAAGAAGAAGAAGAGGAUCUGCAAAUCAUGGAGCUGCCAUUAAUAUUAUCAGGCUCAUUUAUGCUAGCAAGCUACUUGGUGAUGACAAGACUACCAAAGGCUACAAAUCGAGGACUAUCGGACUUAUGAUUGAAAGAAUAUUGACAAAGUUCAUGUUGAGUGCACAAAUCUCUUGUUGGAACACAUAGUAUGAUAGAUUUUCGUUUUAGCUAUAAGAUACUUGCUACUUGCAAUGUCGAAUCGAAAUAAUUGCAAUGAUAUGUACUUGUUACUUGGUAUAUUCGGAUGAUAAUGUAUAAUUGUUUUGGAUGAAAUAUAAUAUGUUAUUGAUGGUUUUA